UUCCGGUUGAUCCUGCCGGACCCGACUGCUAUCAGAGUGGGACUAAGCCAUGCGAGUCAACAUAGCAAUAUGUGGCAUACGGCUCAGUAACACGUAGUCAACAUGCCCAGGGGACGUGGAUAACCUCGGGAAACUGAGGAUAAACCGCGAUAGGUCAUCACUUCUGGAAUGGGUAAUGACUUAAAUCUAUAUGGCCCCUGGAUUGGACUGCGGCCGAUCAGGCUGUUGGUGAGGUAAUGGCCCACCAAACCUGUAACCGGUACGGGCUCUGAGAGGAGGAGCCCGGAGAUGGGCACUGAGACAAGGGCCCAGGCCCUAUGGGGCGCAGCAGGCGCGAAACCUCUGCAAUAGGCGAAAGCUUGACAGGGUUACUCUGAGUGAUUUCCGUUAAGGAGAUCUUUUGGCACCUCUAAAAAUGGUGCAGAAUAAGGGGUGGGCAAGUCUGGUGUCAGCCGCCGCGGUAAUACCAGCACCCCGAGUGGUCGGGACGUUUAUUGGGCCUAAAGCAUCCGUAGCCGGUUCUACAAGUCUUCCGUUAAAUCCACCUGCUUAACAGAUGGGCUGCGGAAGAUACUAUAGAGCUAGGAGGCAGGAGAGGCAACGGUACUCAGUGGGUAGGGGUAAAAUCCG
rnacentral:rRNA from 1 species